GUGCCACUGAAGAGUCCCAUAAUAGGACGAAACGGCAGUCAGACAA
rnacentral:hammerhead_ribozyme from 1 species